AAAAUUAGAGUGUUCAAAGCAGGCAGAUCCAAUUUUCUGCCACCGAAUACAUUAGCAUGGGAUAAUGGAAUAGGACCCUGUCCUCCUAUUUUCAGUUGGUUUUGGCAGCGCGAGGACUAGGGUAAUGAUUAAUAGGGAUAGUUGGGGGCAUUAAUAUUUAAUUGUCAGAGGUGAAAUUCUUGGAUUUAUGAAAGAUUAACUUCUGCGAAAGCAUCUGCCAAGGAUGUUUUCAUUAAUCAAGAACGAAAGUUAGGGGAUCGAAGACGAUCAGAUACCGUCGUAGUCUUAACCAUAAACGAUGCCGACCAGCGAUUAGGAGACGUUGAAUACAAAACACCACCAUCGGCGCGGUCGUCCUUGGCGUGUCUCGGCUUCACGGCCGGGGCGCGCGAGGGCGGUUAGCCC
rnacentral:rRNA from 1 species